CUCUAUGACAUUGACUUGGAUCCCAUUUACCUGAGCUACAAAUCUUCUCAAAGCUCGCCAGCACGUAACACUCAGGAAAUACUCAGCAUUUUACGCAGGUAGUACCAGGGAAAUGUUCAGCAGAUCAGACAGGAUCUGGAGUAUUUAAUUCAGGGUAAACGCCGGGAAUUACUCAACAAUUCAGAUGAUGUCUGGAGUAUGUUACUAUGUUACUUCCACUUGGCAAUGGUUUGGGAGUUAGAGGGGGCUAAAGAGAGAAGUCCUCCAUUACAAGAGUUCUAGUAGUUGGCAAAGACUUGAAACAACUUUUUUCUCCCUAAUCUACAUCUGUGGGGAAAAUUUGUAACUUCUGUGUCUAAGCCUUGGUGCUGUUGCCUUUCACUGUUAGUGCGCCACGGUCUAAUUUCACUGCAGCUUCUGUGAGGCGCCCAUGCUUGCAGCCAAUGAGCCAGGACCUAACCUCAGGAAUGCUGCAAACUCACCUGAGUGCCAGCGUGUCUGCAGCUGCGUUUCACACCCUGCCAGGGCAGGGUGGUACCCUUCCUGAAAUGGCUGUGGGCAACUCCCACCCUGCUAACCAAGCCUUGCCUGUCACUAGAAACAGCUUUGUGGUGGUGGCAACCAAUCUCACCUGAAAGGACGAUUCAAUUUUGUUUACGUCAGCUAGGAGUGGCUUUCGCUUUUUCUUAAAGGAAUCCCUUCUUUAUCCAGUGGUGUGAUCCAGUAUUAGAAUUAGGUUUCAUUGUCACGUGUACUCAAGUAGAGGAGGACAGUGAAAGGUUUAUACUGUCACCAUUCAUGGCACCGUCUUAGGUACAAGUACCUAGGUACAAAAUCUUAGGUAAAGAGUAGGGAAGUAACAAAUAAGCUUAAAAUUCAACAUUACAGUUCUUGUCAGUAUGAUGCAGUGGAGGUAUGAGGCAGUGGAGGUAUGAGGCAGUGGAGGUAUGAGGUAGUGGAGGUAUGAGGCAGUGGGGGUAUGAGGCAGCGGAGGUAUGAGGCAGCGGAGGUAUGAGGCAGCGGAGGUAUGAGGCAGUGGAGGUACGAGGCAGUGGGGGUAUGAGGCAGUGGGGGUAUGAGGCUGUGGGGGUAUGAGGCAGCGGAGGUAUGAGGCAGUGGCAUUCAAGACGCACCUGGACAGAUACAGUAAGAUAUGGUUCCUCGAAGUGGAAACAGUCUUAGUAUGGAAGGGCAAAAUGUAUCAGCGCAGGCUUGGCAGGGCCGAAGGGCCUGUACCUGUGCUGAAUUAUUCAUUGUACCUUGUUCCAAUAAGUAAGAACUAAAAUGAAGAGUUCCAAUUCGCUGUCUGUCUUUCAGGAAUGGCCUGCAGUCGCUCCAAACUGGCUUUCCCCGUGAGGGCUUGAUCUCUCAAUCGUGAGUGUGGUGCUGGAAAAGCACAGUAGGUCAGGCAGCAUCCGAGGAGCAGGAGAAUUGCUGCUGGUCUGUGUGUUGCUACUUUCCGUCUCCCUCUCCUCUUUGAAUAAGGUAUCUUUAAACUAAAGAACUGCGUAUGCUGGAAAUCGGAAACAAAAGCAGAGAUUGCCGGAGGAUCUCAGCAGGUCUGACAG